rnacentral:rRNA from 1 species
GACGAACGCUGGCGGCGUGCCUAAUACAUGCAAGUCGAACGCACUCUCGUUUAGAUUGAAGGAGCUUGCUCCUGAUUGAUAAACAUUUGAGUGAGUGGCGGACGGGUGAGUAACACGUGGGUAACCUGCCCUAAAGUGGGGGAUAACAUUUGGAAACAGAUGCUAAUACCGCAUAAAACCUAACACCGCAUGGUGUAGGGUUGAAAGAUGGUUUCGGCUAUCACUUUAGGAUGGACCCGCGGUGCAUUAGUUAGUUGGUGAGGUAAAGGCUCACCAAGACCGUGAUGCAUAGCCGACCUGAGAGGGUAAUCGGCCACACUGGGACUGAGACACGGCCCAGACUCCUACGGGAGGCAGCAGUAGGGAAUCUUCCACAAUGGACGAAAGUACUGAUGGAGCAAACGCCGCGUGAGUGAAGAAAGGUUUUCGGAUCGUAAAAACUCUGUUGUUGGAGAAGAAAUGUAUCUGAUAGUAACUGAUCAGGUAGUGACGGUAUCCAACCAGAAAG